rnacentral:rRNA from 1 species
AUUGAACGCUGGCGGCAGGCCUAACACAUGCAAGUCGAGCGGAUGAAGAGAGCUUGCUCUCUGAUUCAGCGGCGGACGGGUGAGUAAUGCCUAGGAAUCUGCCUGGUAGUGGGGGACAACGUUUCGAAAGGAACGCUAAUACCGCAUACGUCCUACGGGAGAAAGUGGGGGAUCUUCGGACCUCACGCUAUCAGAUGAGCCUAGGUACGAUUAGCUAGUUGGUGAGGUAAAGGCUCACCAAUGCGACGAUCGUUAACUGGUCUGAGAGGAUGAUCAGUCACACUGGAACUGAGACACGGUCCAGACUCCGACGGGAGGCAGCAGUGGGGAAUAUUGGACAAUGGGCGAAAGCCUGAUCCAGCCAUGCCGCGUGUGUGAAGAAGGUCUUCGGAUUGUAAAGCACUUUAAGUUGGGAGGAAGGGCAGUAAGUUAAUACCUUGCUGUUUUGACGUUACCGACAGAAUAAGCACCGGCUAACUUCGUGCCAGCCGCCGCGGUAAGAC